rnacentral:rRNA from 1 species
UUUGAUCCUGGCGUCAGGAUGAACGCUGGCGGCGUGCCUAACACAUGCAAGUCGAACGAAGCAUAAGGAGCGGAAGUUUUCGGAUGGAAGCAACUUAUGACUGAGUGGCGGACGGGUGAGUAACGCGUGGGUAACCUGCCCCACACAGGGGGACAACAGCUGGAAACGGCUGCUAAUACCGCAUAAGCGCACAAGGGCUGCAUGGCCUGGUGUGAAAAGCUGAGGCGGUGUGGGAUGGACCCGCGUCCGAUUAGGUAGUUGGCAGGGGUAGAGGCCUACCAAGCCUGCGAUCGGUAGCCGGCCUGAGAGGGUGGACGGCCACAUUGGGACUGAGACACGGCCCAAACUCCUACGGGAGGCAGCAGUGGGGUAUAUUGCACAAUGGGCGCAAGCCUGAUGCAGCGACGCCGCGUGGGUGAAGAAGUACCUCGGUACGUAAAGCCCUAUCAGCAGGGAAGAAAAUGACGGUACCUGACUAAGAAGCUCCGGCUAAAUACGUG